ACUGGGAUUGCCUUAGUAACUGCGAGUGAAGCGGCAAAAGCUCAAAUUUGAAAUCUGGCACAAGCCCGAGUUGUAAUUUGCAGAGGAUGCUUCGACGUCGGACGCCGGCUUAAGUUUUCUGGAACGAAGCGUCAUAGAGGGUGAGAACCCCGUGAAUGGUUGGCCGUUUUGACGUCAUAUGUAGCUCCUUCAACGAGUCGAGUUGUUUGGGAAUGCAGCUCUAAGUGGGAGGUAAAUUUCUUCUAAGGCUAAAUAUAGGCCAGAGACCGAUAGCGAACAAGUAGAGUGAUCGAAAGAUGAAAAGCACUUUGAAAAGAGGGUUAAAAAGUACGUGAAAUUGUUGAAAGGGAAGCGCUUGCGGUCAGACUUGCUCGUGAUUGCUCAAUUCAUCGUCGUGGUGAGUGUAAUCAAUCUUGAGCAGGCCAACAUCAGUUUGGGCGGUGAGAUAAUGGCUCGGAAAAUGUAGCUUUCUCUCGGGAAAGUGUUAUAGUUCCGGGUGUCAUGUCACCAGUCUAGACUGAGGAUAGCGUCUUUGACUAGGAUGUUGGCGUAAUGGCCGUAAGCGACCCGUCUUGAAACACGGACCAAGGAGUCUAACAUCUGCGCGAGUGUUUGGGUGUUAAACCCGCACGCGUAAUGAAAGUAAACGAAGGUGGGAAUCCCGUCAAACGGAUGCACCAUCGACCGAUCCUGAUGUUUUCGGAUGGAUUUGAGUAAGAGCGCAGCUGUUGGGACCCGAAAGAUGGUGAACUAUGCCUGUGUAGGCUGAAGCCAGAGGAAACUCUGGUGGAAGGUCGCAGCGGUUCUGACGUGCAAAUCGAUCGUCAAACAUGGGUAUAGGGGCGAAAGACUAAUCGAACCAUCUAGUAGCUGGUUCACGCC
rnacentral:rRNA from 1 species